CGUGUAGGCGGUCGAGUAAGUCAGAUGUGAAAGCCCUCCGCUUAACGGAAGAAGUGCAUUUGAAACUGCUCGGCUGGAGUACGGGAGAGGAGAGUGGAAUUCCCGGUGUAGAGGUGAAAUUCGUAGAUAUCGGGAGGAACACCAGUGGCGAAGGCGGCUCUCUGGUCCGAUACUGACGCUGAGACGCGAAAGCGUGGGGAGCAAACAGGAUUAGAUACCCUGGUAGUCCACGCCGUAAACGAUGGGCACUAGGUGUAGGAGGUAUUGACCCCUUCUGUGCCGAAGCUAACGCAUUAAGUGCCCCGCCUGGGGAGUACGGCCGCAAGGCUAAA
rnacentral:rRNA from 1 species